rnacentral:rRNA from 1 species
GUGGGGGAUAACAUCGGGAAACUGGUGCUAAUACCGCAUGAUACCUGAGGGUCAAAGGCGCAAGUCGCCUGUGGAGGAGCCUGCGUUCGAUUAGCUUGUUGGUGGGGUAAAGGCCUACCAAGGCGAUGAUCGAUAGCUGGUCUGAGAGGAUGAUCAGCCACACUGGGACUGAGACACGGCCCAGACUCCUACGGGAGGCAGCAGUGGGGAAUAUUGGACAAUGGGCGAAAGCCUGAUCCAGCAAUGCCGCGUGUGUGAAGAAGGUCUUCGGAUUGUAAAGCACUUUCGACGGGGACGAUGAUGACGGUACCCGUAGAAGAAGCCCCGGCUAACUUCGUGCCAGCAGCCGCGGUAAUACGAAGGGGGCUAGCGUUGCUCGGAAUGACUGGGCGUAAAGGGCGCGUAGGCGGUUUACACAGUCAGAUGUGAAAUUCCAGGGCUUAACCUUGGGGCUGCAUUUGAUACGUGUAGACUAGAG